rnacentral:misc_RNA from 1 species
AGCAGCCGCGGUAAUUCCAGCUCCAAUAGCGUAUAUUAAAGUUGUUGCAGUUAAAAGCUCGUAGUUGAAUUUCGGGAUCAGUACGCCGGUCGUGCCUUCGGUAUGCACUGGUGUCACUGGUUUCUCCCUUCUGAAGAACCAUCAUGCCAUUAAGUUGGUGUGGCGGGAAAUCAGGACUGUUACUUUGAAAAAUUGAGUGUUUAAAGCAGGCUCGCGCUUGAAUACAUUAGCAUGGAAUAAUGAAAUAGGACGUUUGACCCUUAUUUUGUUGGUUUC